CCUACGGGAGGCAGCAGUGGGGAAUUUUGGACAAUGGGCGGAAGCCUGAUCCAGCCAUGCCGCGUGAGUGAAGAAGGCCUUCGGGUUGUAAAGCUCUUUCGGUGGGGAAGAAAUGGCACGGGCUAAUACUCUGUGUUGAUGACGGUACCCGCAUAAGAAGCACCGGCUAACUACGUGCCAGCAGCCGCGGUAAUACGUAGGGUGCGAGCGUUAAUCGGAAUUACUGGGCGUAAAGCGUGCGCAGGCGGUUGUGUAAGUCAGAUGUGAAAUCCCCGGGCUCAACCUGGGAACUGCAUUUGAGACUGCACGGCUAGAGUGUGGCAGAGGGGGGUGGAAUUCCACGUGUAGCAGUGAAAUGCGUAGAGAUGUGGAGGAACACCGAUGGCGAAGGCAGCCCCCUGGGUCACUACUGACGCUCAGGCACGAAAGCGUGGGGAGCAAACAGGAUUAGAUACCCUGGUAGUCCACGCCCUAAACGAUGUCAACUAGGUGUUGGGAGGGUUAAACCUCUUAGUGCCGUAGCUAACGCGUGAAGUUGACCGCCUGGGGAGUACGGCCGCCAGGCUAAAACUCAAAUGAAUUGACGG
rnacentral:rRNA from 1 species